rnacentral:rRNA from 1 species
CUACGGGGGGCUCCAGUGGGGAAUAUUGGACAAUGGGGGAAACCCUGAUCCAGCAAUGCCGCGUGUGUGAAGAAGGCCUGCGGGUUGUAAAGCACUUUCGGUUGGGAGGACUGCUUCUAGCACUAAUAUUGUUGGAAGUUGACGUUACCUUCAGAAGAAGCACCGGCAACUCCGUGCCAGCAGCCGCGGUAAUACGGAGGGUGCAUGCGUUAAUCGGAAUUACUGGGCGUAAAGCGCGCGUAGGCGGCUAGAUCAGUCGGGUGUGAAAGCCCCGGGCUUAACCUGGGAACUGCAUCCGAUACUGUCUAGCUUGAGUACAGGAGAGGAGAGUGGAAUUCCACAUGUAGCGGUGAAAUGCGUAGAUAUGUGGAGGAACACCAAUGGCGAAGGCAGCUCUCUGGCCUGAUACUGACGCUGAGGUGCGAAAGCGUGGGGAGCAAACAGGAUUAGAUACCCCGGUAGUC